AUGGACUUCUGCAGAAAUGGAUCUAUAUUUCAGGACCAAGUCUAUUGUCAUGCACUGCAAAACAACAUUUCAGUCAACCAUGAAAUGAUAUACGAUGGUGAUCCCAAUGGUGGUCUUAUGAGAUUACAAUGGAGGUGGUAGGAAGUGGGGAAGAUGGCCGAACGGAAGCUUCUCCAGAGUGCAGCUACCACUGAGUGAGACAGAACCAGAGCAAUAUCCACGUCUCCGAGCGAGGUACCGCUUUUGUUUUAAAAGGACUAGUUGAACAGCAGGAUUAACCCCCCACAAAAGGCAGUGGAAGCAGCCCAAAGGUGUCCAGGCGAGGCAAGGUGGGGCAUUGCCCCACCUGGAAAGUGUAUCAGGAAUGGAGGAUCAGUGGGGCAUCAUCUCCUCGGUUCUCUGAAUCAGAUACAGCAAUUCACUCUGAGACUUUGGCAGCACACAGACCAGGAAAAAGCUGCCUUGCUGAGAACCACCUGGAGUCACAGACCCGGGUGACAGCCCAGCCAGCAGCCCUGGCCAGACCAGUGCCUUCUUAGUGCAGGCCAGGGUGGAGAUUUGGACUAAUACCAAGAAAGCUUGCAAAAAGGAACUGCCUGUCCCACAGAAUAGGUGAAUUUAAAAAUAGAGUUACAGGCUCAGUUAAAAUCAAAGUUUUCACCCUUGGCCAUUAAGAGAUAUUAUAUGUAUGAGGCCUGGGAUGUCCUACUUCCCCUUAACUGCAAAGUGUCCCUAUGGUACUCAUGUUUCAACCCCCAAAAUGCACUUUGCUAAAAUGUUUGCUGUAGAGCCAGGUCCUGUGGAUGGAAGCUGAAGAGGUGAGUGCUGUGUGCAAACACAUGGCAGGGAGUCUGGAUGGGUUUACAGUAAGCACAAACGCCCCAUGGGGACUGCAGCCUUUUACCUCUCACUGCAGGGGAUGGGCAUUGACCAGGUGAUGCAGCCCCAGAAAUCAGUUUAACACUAAUGAGGGCUGCAGCUGGGAUCAGAGAGGAACACGUGGGAAUUUGUAGAUGAUGUAGUCGGGAUAUCUGAGAUACGGUGGGAGCACCAGAAAUGGCUAGCCACCAUAUCUGUCCAGUUUGCCUUUUAACACUGCAGAUUCAAAUAUGGGGGAACACAAGCCAAUACUGAAGGCCCAAAGCAGAGGCUUAGACAUAGGACACUCUCCAGGAUGAAAUGGAGAUUUUAACUAGCAUGUCAGCCAAGAGCACAACCAGCACCAGAAGUGAAAAUAGCUGAAAGAAAGAUUAUUUUUUUGACUUACAUGCUCUUGAGAAAGCUGGAAAAUUCAGUCCUGAAAAGGAAAAAUAGCAAACUUACAGCUAUUGCUCAUCUCUUCUAGAACAAAGAAAAUGAGCUGGGGGCCCAGUGGGGAAAUCUUGUCCAGAGAUCUGCUUUUCUUCCUUGAUAUUACAUUAGUUUUGUGCUGCUUGGUUCUCUUUUGUUUUAAUUUUU
rnacentral:lncRNA from 1 species